ACCUAUGCAGCCUGGGUUCAUAAAUCCUUUACUCUCGGGAUUUGUGCUCCUAAAUCUUCAAGGUCUUGCAGCUCCUGAUAUGCUCUGCUUUUGGAAGUUUCCAUCUCUUAACACGUAGACUUGGAACCUGCAACCCACAGAAGUCCCAAGAGUGCGGAUUUAUCCAUGGAAUUAUACCAAGAAUAAAUUAGACCAUGGACAUCAGAGGCACCACUCACAGGCGUAUGAACUACUGGCUCCAGUCCACUGUUUCCGUACUUUGGUUAUUUCCAUUUAGUUUAGCUUGAUUAGAUUCCAACACUCAGUAAACUUGAUCAAAUUUUUUUGAAGAAUAUGUUUGCAUAUCAACUACAUUUUUCACAUCCUUGCUCAGCCUCUGGAAAAAGCUCUUAAUAAAGAGGGAACUUACAGUUUCGCCUGUAAAAUAGCAACAACCAAAUUUCCACUAUGAUUUGGGAUCAAGCAUCAAGUGCUGGAAGAAUAUGUUGCAAUUAUCCAGGUGAAUUGUUAACUGAAAUGUAAGGUUACUAACUGAGGUAAUUACCGCAGUGUCACUAUGAACACACUACCCCUGCAUUCUCCCAGCAUGAUACAGUGCUUAUGAUGGAUAGUGGCGGUUAGGUCCAGACUGGGAGCAGCAGCAACCUGUUCUUAAAUCCUUCCUCUGUCUAAUGCUCCUUGCUUAACACUCUGUUAAUUCCUGGUAACCCUGCUAUUCUUCCAAGGGCCUUAAAAAAAACACUUCCUUCAUCAUGCCAUUGUUUCAUCAUGACUUUGUUCUUAUGAACAUAG
ensembl:lncRNA